rnacentral:rRNA from 1 species
CUUGACUGUAUCCUGGAAUUGGGUUCGGGCUUUUCUUGCGCAGACUAGGUGGGAGGCUAUGAAGAUUUCCUUCCGGGGGAGUUGGAGCCAUCAGUGAGAGACCACUCUGGAAAGGCUAGAAUCCUAAUGGUGAUCCUUGAAUCAGGACACUUGACAGUUUCAGGUGGGCAGUUUCUCUGGGGCGGAGGCCUCAUAAAAGGUAACUGAGGCGCGCAAAGGUUCCCUCAGUCUGGACGGAAAUCAGACACUGAGUGUAAAGGCAAAAGGGAGCUUGACUGCAAGACCUACAAGUCGAGCAGGAGCGAAAGCUGGCCUUAGUGAUCCGACGGUUCCGCGUGGAAGGGCCGUCGCUCAACGAAUAAAAGUUA